UACGGGGGGAGCAAGCGUUGUUCGGAUUUACUGGGCGUAAAGGGCGCGUAGGCGGUCGUGACAAGUCACUUGUGAAAUCUCCGGGCUUAACUCGGAACGGUCAAGUGAUACUGUCGGACUAGAGUACAGAAGGGGCAACUGGAAUUCUCGGUGUAGCGGUGAAAUGCGUAGAUAUCGAGAGGAACACCUGCGGCGAAGGCGGGUUGCUGGACCGACACUGACACUGAGGAGCGAAAGCCAGGGGAGCAAACGGG
rnacentral:rRNA from 1 species